UAUAAUUUAUUUUCUUCCUCUAGGCAGCACUCAGAAGUAUGUUCUCAGAAUAAUUCCUGAUCCUCUGUGAGUUCCUGGUGCAGCUCCUGGAGGAAAAGCCUGCAUGGGGGAGGGAGCCCUCCUCACAUGCAGCCCUGAGGCUGUCACGUCACUUCACCCACCGUUGCCCUUCAGUCACUUCCUGAACGCUUAUGAGUUAAUCUUCCUGAAACAUGUGGUAUAUGGCAGUGUCUUUCCCAGGACAUUGAUUAUGGGAUUCACCAGAAGCUGCUGGCCUUUCACAGGCACAGACCUUCCUCUACACCAGUGGUCCCCAACAUUUUUGGCACCAGGGAACGGUUUCGUGGCAGACAAUUUUUCCAUGGAUGAUGGCGGUGAGUGAUUAUGGGAUGAACUUACUCCACCUGCAUUCAUCAGGCAUUAGAUUCUCAUAGGGAGCACUCAAAC
rnacentral:lncRNA from 1 species